CCUCAGUAACGGCGAGUGAAGCGGCAAUAGCUCAAAUUUGAAAUCUGGCCCUUUCAGGGUCCGAGUUGUAAUUUGCAGAGGGCGCUUUGGCGUCGGCAGUAGCCUAAGUUCCUUGGAACAGGUCAUCAUAGAGGGUGAGAAUCCCGUAUGUGGCUGCCUGCCUUCGCCGUGUAAAGCCCCUUCGAUGAGUCGAGUUGUUUGGGAAUGCAGCUCUAAAUGGGAGGUAAAUUUCUUCUAAAGCUAAAUAUUGGCCAGAGACCGAUAGCGCACAAGUAGAGUGAUCGAAAGAUGAAAAGCACUUUGGAAAGAGAGUCAAAAAGCACGUGAAAUUGUUGAAAGGGAAGCGCUUGCAGCCAGACGUGCCCGCAGUUGCUCAUCUGGGGUUUUCCCCAGUGCACUCUUCUGUGGGCAGGCCAGCAUCAGUUCAGGCGGUUGGAGAAAGACCUGUGUCAUGUAGCUCUCUUCGGGGAGUGUUAUAGGGCAGGUGGAAUGCAACCAGCUUGAACUGAGGUCCGCGCAUCUGCUAGGAUGCUGGCGUAAUGGCUGUAAGCGGCCCGUCUUGAAACACGGACCAAGGAGUCUAACAUCUAUGCGAGUGUUUGGGUGUCAAGCCCGAGCGCGUAAUGAAAGUGAACGGAGGUGGGAACCCCUCGGGGUGCACCAUCGACCGAUCCUGAUGUCUUCGGAUGGAUUUGAGUAAGAGCAUAGCUGUUGGGACCCGAAAGAUGGUGAACUAUGCCUGAAUAGGGUGAAGCCAGAGGAAACUCUGGUGGAGGCUCGCAGCGGUUCUGACGUGCAAAUCGAUCGUCAAAUUUGGGCAUAGGGGCGAAAGACUAAUCG
rnacentral:rRNA from 1 species